rnacentral:rRNA from 1 species
AGUGAACGCUGGCGGUAGGCCUAACACAUGCAAGUCGAACGGCAGCACAGUAAGAGCUUGCUCUUACGGGUGGCGAGUGGCGGACGGGUGAGGAAUACAUCGGAAUCUACUUUUUCGUGGGGGAUAACGUAGGGAAACUUACGCUAAUACCGCAUACGACCUACGGGUGAAAGCAGGGGAUCUUCGGACCUUGCGCGAUUGAAUGAGCCGAUGUCGGAUUAGCUAGUUGGCGGGGUAAAGGCCCACCAAGGCGACGAUCCGUAGCUGGUCUGAGAGGAUGAUCAGCCACACUGGAACUGAGACACGGUCCAGACUCCUACGGGAGGUAGCAGUGGGGAAUAUUGGACAAUGGGCGCAAGCCUGAUCCAGCCAUACCGCGUGGGUGAAGAAGGCCUUCGGGUUGUAAAGCCCUUUUGUUGGGAAAGAAAAGCAGCAGGUUAAUACCCCGCUGUUCUGAAGGUACCCAAAGAAUAAGCACCGGCGAACUUCGU